AGAGUUCGAUCCUGGCUCAGGAUGAACGCUGGCGGCGCGCCUAACACAUGCAAGUCGAACGGCACCCACCCUCGGGUGGAAGCGAGUGGCGAACGGCUGAGUAACACGUGGAGAACCUGCCCCCUCCCCCGGGAUAGCCGCCCGAAAGGACGGGUAAUACCGGAUACCCCGGGGUGCCGCAUGGCACCCCGGCUAAAGCCCCGACGGGAGGGGAUGGCUCCGCGGCCCAUCAGGUAGACGGCGGGGUGACGGCCCACCGUGCCGACAACGGGUAGCCGGGUUGAGAGACCGACCGGCCAGAUUGGGACUGAGACACGGCCCAGACUCCUACGGGAGGCAGCAGUGGGGAAUCUUGCGCAAUGGGGGGAACCCUGACGCAGCGACGCCGCGUGCGGGACGGAGGCCUUCGGGUCGUAAACCGCUUUCAGCAGGGAAGAGUCAAGACUGUACCUGCAGAAGAAGCCCCGGCUAACUACGUGCCAGCAGCCGCGGUAAUACGUAGGGGGCGAGCGUUAUCCGGAUUCAUUGGGCGUAAAGCGCGCGUAGGCGGCCCGGCAGGCCGGGGGUCGAAGCGGGGGGCUCAACCCCCCGAAGCCCCCGGAACCUCCGCGGCUUGGGUCCGGUAGGGGAGGGUGGAACACCCGGUGUAGCGGUGGAAUGCGCAGAUAUCGGGUGGAACACCGGUGGCGAAGGCGGCCCUCUGGGCCGAGACCGACGCUGAGGCGCGAAAGCUGGGGGAGCGAACAGGAUUAGAUACCCUGGUAGUCCCAGCCGUAAACGAUGGACGCUAGGUGUGGGGGGACGAUCCCCCCGUGCCGCAGCCAACGCAUUAAGCGUCCCGCCUGGGGAGUACGGCCGCAAGGCUAAAACUCAAAGGAAUUGACGGGGGCCCGCACAAGCGGCGGAGCAUGCGGAUUAAUUCGAUGCAACGCGAAGAACCUUACCAAGGCUUGACAUGCACUGGACUGGCCCAGAGAUGGGUUUUCCUUUUUGGCUGGUGUGCAGGUGGUGCAUGGUUGUCGUCAGCUCGUGUCGUGAGAUGUUGGGUUAAGUCCCGCAACGAGCGCAACC
rnacentral:rRNA from 1 species